rnacentral:tRNA from 1 species
UGCCAGAGUGGUGGAAUUGGCAGACACGCCAGACUCAAAAUCUGGUCCCCGUCACAGGGGGUAAGGGUUCAACUCCCUUCUCUGGCAU